AGAGCCAUAGCUCAGUGGCAGGGUAUCUGCCUUGCACACAGAAAGCCUUAGGUUCAAUUCCUGGCAACUCUA